rnacentral:rRNA from 1 species
CAGUCGCCGCGGUAACACAGAGGGUGCGAGCGUUAAUCGGAUUUACUGGGCGUAAAGCGUGCGUAGGCGGCUUUUUAAGUCGGAUGUGAAAUCCCUGAGCUUAACUUAGGAAUUGCAUUCGAUACUGGGAAGCUAGAGUAUGGGAGAGGAUGGUAGAAUUCCAGGUGUAGCGGUGAAAUGCGUAGAGAUCUGGAGGAAUACCGAUGGCGAAGGCAGCCAUCUGGCCUAAUACUGACGCUGAGGUACGAAAGCAUGGGGAGCAAACAGGAUUAGAUACCCCGGUAGUCCCUGUCUCUUAUAC